AUACCUUUGCAAACAUAAUCUUAGUAAGGUUAUCUAGCCGAUUGUAUAGUCUAGAUGUAUAGUCUAGAGAGUGCAGAGCUCAGAUUCAGUUCAAAUAAAACUACUUAAGUAAAAUGCUCCUCAAUUUCUCAAUUCUUCCCGGACAAACAUUAUCCAGUUGAAUCGAACCCUAAUCCGAAUCCGAAUCGAAUGACUAAAGAUAAUAGUCGCCCAUAAGAAGAAUGAACUGAAGAUGUUGCUGCUGUCAUAAAUGACUAUGAGCAUCGUCGAUUAGAAGAAUGUACUGAAGAUGACUAUUCGUUUCUUACUUCCGUCGAACUGGGGUCACACUACAAAUCAGCAUUUCGGCUAUGAUGGCGAUUGCAAACGCUUUCAGCUCUCGUGGAUCGGUGUUAGUGUCGGAAUUCAGUCCAGCGGCUGCGAAAGCCGCCCUGAUGACACGAUGAUGUACCGCUGAAUGCCCAUGGUGCCCUGCAUCUGGAGUAUGAUUUCGUUUCUUCUAAAUUAUUGAGUAAGGUUAUCUAGACGAUUGUAUAGUCUAGAGAGUCCAGAGCUCAGAGUCAGUUCAAAUAAACUAUUUAACUAAAAUGCUCGUCAAUUUCUCAAUUCUUCCCGGACAAGCAUCAUCCAGUUGAAUCGAACCCUAAUCCGAAUCAGCAUCAAUAGAACCCAUAAAUUGGUUUCUCAUGGAGUCUUUUCGUAAAGAGUCGGGAAAAGACACUUAUUUGCAGACAACGAGAAACGGUCAACAGUUAUUUGCGAGCUCUGAUUUUGAUUUGAAUAGAAAUUGAGCUUAAUCAGAAAGAUUUGGCAUUGUUCUUAACACGAAUUGGCAAGCAUCGAAAAUUGCAUCAAACACACCUGCCCUUUUACAAGAGUAAAUAGCGUCUCCAAUUUUUUCUAUGUUGUGUAUUAUGUCCAUUGUAUUAGUUUAGGUAUUAGGUUUUUAUUUUAGAAUAAUGAAUGAAUGUGAAUGUUUUUCUAGAAUAAACAAUCGUCUAUAUAACCUUA